UACAGAGGUCUCAAGCGUUGUUCGGAUUCAUUGGGCGUAAAGGGUGCGUAGGUGGCGCCGUAAGUCAGGUGUGAAAUCUCGGGGCUCAACCCCGAAACUGCACUUGAUACUGCGGUGCUCGAGUACUGGAGAGGAGAUUGGAAUUUACGGUGUAGCAGUGAAAUGCGUAGAUAUCGUAAGGAAGACCAGUGGCGAAGGCGAAUCUCUGGACAGUUACUGACAGC
rnacentral:rRNA from 1 species